rnacentral:lncRNA from 10 species
UGAGCCUCCAAAAACACAGACCUGAUCAUGUCACUCCCAGGCCGUACAGUUGAAGAAGAUAGGCACAUAGGAAACAACCUGAAGACAUAGUUUCCUCUGAUUUCAUGCCAAGGAAAUUGAUAUGGACAGUGAGUGAAAUUGGAAAUCAGAGAAGAGAGAGAUCCAAGGAGCAGUGAGGGAAGCCUCCAGGGAAAGAGAGGUGGGAAAGGACAUUCCCGGAGGAUGAGAUGACAGAAGCAAGAACAGAAAGGAGCAAGUCAGUAUGUAUGGGUACGCCACCUACUGGACGAUGCACGUUCCUAGUUAGGAGGAGAGGAAGCCUGGGGAGGAGAGGUGGUGCCAGGAGCCACAGGACCUGCAUGGAAAAGAGAGAUGCCAUUGGGCUUGGCAAUGGGAAAUCAUUCCAGAUUUCUGACCAAGGGAGCAGUCUGGUGUGAGUAAAGUUCAGGGAAGAUCAGCCUGCGAGUGUUGUGUGGGAUAAACUGUAAGAAAGAGGAAAGAAAAGGAAGGCAGGGGAAGCGAAGAGGGAGGAAGAAUAGAAGAAUGGAGGGAAAGAAUAGUAGCAUUUGUUGUCCACCUUGCAGGUCCUUUCCAAAAGACAGCUUGUUUAAUCUUCUCAACUACACUGCAUGGUAUGUAUUAUUAUCCCAGUUUUGCCGAUAAAGAAGCUGGAGUUAAAAGAGUUGAUUAACUCACCCAGGGUUACUUAUCUAGAUAGAAACCAGAACUAAUGCUUGAGUGUUUUGCCUCCAGAUCCAGCAACCUUUCCUCUAUAUUUCAAGGUACAGCUGGCAGGGAUCCUAGUUAGGAAGUUACUGCAGCAGCAGGGAAGUCAUAGGGUGGUGGAUUUGGGUACAGAGACUUUCCUGAGCUAAAGUAAGUAUGCCCACCUCCAGGGCCCAGCUCUAAAAGCCUGAUGGUGGGCACGUUGAGGUGGGCUUUGCUCUAACAAGUCCAGCAAUGAAGUCAGGAGCAGUGAAGGGUCCAUCCUAGGAAAAGUGUCCAGUGUGGAGUCACGUGGAGAGGAGAAUCCAAAGCAGAGUCUCAGGAGAUGCAGUUAGAGCCGGGGAAGCAGCCUGGGCGGGAAGUCAGGGCAGCUAGGUUUUAGCCCUGGAAGUACCACUCUGGGACUUUCGGUCAGUCACUUAGCCUCCAGGAACCUCAGUCUCCUCAUCUGUAAAAUAACAUUUAAAAUCUAAUCUUCCGUAUCUUUUUCAUUUUGAGACCCAAAUGAGAUUGUGACUAUGGAGGUGGUUUUUUUACUCAGGAGUUCUGGGCUUGUGGAAGAGAUGGUGAUUGCUAUCAGGUGGCAGGAUGGUGACAGUGAGGGGCAGGUGGACCCAGGGAUGGAGGAGGACAGAGGACAGGCAGACAUUUCCCCACCCAGGACAGGCCAGAUGUGCUCCCUGAGCUGUUGCCUGUGCUGGGUGUUUGCCAUCAGCCAUUUCUCCCUCUGACUUUAUCAGUUCCAAUUAAUUCGUUGCUCACCUACGAAGUUCCCACUCUCCUUAAAUCACUGAGAUGAGCAAUUCUUAUUCCAAUCUUCUGAAUACCCUUCCUUUUACCUUUCCUCUUCACUGAAUAUCCAAAGAGCUAGUGAGAUAAAUCCAUUGUGCCUUUGGCAAAAAGUGAGUUACCAAUAUCCAAAUAUGAAGACAUAUUAAAAUUCUUUCACAUUUCCCCCAGCCCCCAGCCUAUUUCUCUUCUCCACCGAAUUCAUCAUCUGUGACACAUUUGUGUCAUCAAUUAUAGGUGUAGCUCAUCCGAUUCAGUUGUAGAAAGAAGAAAAAGGCACAAAAAUGUUUAUGCUGCUGGUUAAGUUAAUGUGAAGCAUUUUACAUGUUGUGGGGGAGGGAGUACAUGCUAUGCAUUGGCCGACAUAAUGGCUCGUAAAUUUACUUAUUGCAGAAAAUGCAUUAGUGGGUAUAGCUAUUUUCAUUUAUUUGUACCAAAGUCUCUAAAGAAAAAUAAAAGAGCCAGUGUAUUGCUCAAGUGCAUGUGCCAUUCUUACAAAACACAAUGACCCCAAGGUGUCUGGAUGUACCAAAUCCAUCCUAGGCAUAAAUGCCAUCUAAGGCAAUAGUGCUCACAGGUGUCUUUGGGACAUGUGUCCCUACAGAUGAGCUGGGGAUGUUCACCUUCCACCUCACUGUCUGUUGCCUGUGCACACUUGUUCAGCUCUGAACACUUAGGAAAUACUAUGAGUUUCUCUGGAGAUCAGGGCCAGAGAGGCCAGUGUGGGGCGGAUCCUAGACACAAGAUUAGGCCCAUGAUAUAGGGGAAGAUAGAGGGGAGGCAGAGAGGUUGAAACACCGAGGGCUGACAGAGAGGUGGGAGAGCAGCAGCCCACAUGGAAAGACAGCCCCAGGGGAAGAUCAAAAGGGACGUUACCCUGGGCCCAGAGAGGAGGGUUUUACUUCGUUGAAAAUGAAACACACUCCAGGAGAGCAUUCUAAAUACCCUUGACUCUCCCAUUACUGUAGCCGAGUUGCGUACUGUCAGUUUGUUUGGGAUAUUCUCUACUCCUUGAAGGUGGGGACUCUGGGAGAUGACAGAAAAGCUGAGUUCUCCCAGGGCAGCCAGACAUUUGGACAAGUGGCUUAUGAGUAAAGCCACUCCUUACCCUUGUAUGCUAGGAAUUCACUCUUGGAUUAAUCCCACAUGAAUUUACUGAAUUCCUGAGCAGAGAACAAUGAACCCAGUCAUUUGUGAUGAAGCCACAGAAGGGAUCACUGGGACUCCUGCCAGCCAAGUCUAUCUGGGGCUGGACUUGAGUGAUGAAUUGGGGCUCGGAAGACUUCUAUUUCAUGGAUUCUGCAUUUGUUUUGUUUGUUUAUGGGUGUAUCAGUCCGUUUUCAUGCUGCUGAUAAAGACAUACCCAAGACUGGGCAAUUUUCAAAAGAAAGAGGUUUAUUGGACUCACAGUUCCAUGUGGCUUGGGUGGUCUCUCAAUCAUGGUGGAAGGUGAAAGGCACGUCUCACUUGGUGGCAGACAAGAGAAGAGAAUGAGGAAGAAGUGAAAGAAGAAACCCUUUAAAAAACCAUCAGAUCUCAUGAUACUUAUUUACUACCAUGAGUACAGUAUGGGGGAAACUGCCCCCAUGAUUCAGUUAUCUCCCACUGGGUCCCUCCCACAACAUGUGGGAAUUAUGGGAGUACAAUUCAAGAUGAGAUUUGAGUGGGGACAGGGAGUCAAACCAUAUCAAGGGGCUUUGCCUUUUUAAAUAGUUUUCUAUAUAAUUCUCUGGAAAUAAUUCUCUGGAAAUUCUAGCCUUAGCUCAGCUAAACCAAUGAGGAAAUAGGUAUAGUCUACACUUGGUCUGGGGCCCCUAGAGGGCAGAAUGGGCAGAGGCCAGGCAUGAAAGUGAUGGUAGCCAUCCCAGAGUACCAGGACAGAGGUCAGGUGAGGAGCUGGGACCAUUAGCCCUGGCUGGCCUGGAGUCUUUUGCUACACCUCCUGGGUUUGUACCUCCAUGCUUUGGAUGUUUAUACCUCCAUGCUUUGUACCUCUGGAUGCUUUGUCCAAUGGCUGGCAACAGCCCAGAGGGUUGGAACUGGACAUAACAGAAUGCUGAGUGGUCGUCAAGGACCCCCAGACUCUCUCUGCCUUCAGCGAGACCAUCCCUCUCCCAGGCAACACAAGGCUCCCCUAUCUCCCAUCUGGGAUUGGCCACCUUGUCUAAAUCCAGGUACAUGUGCUGAGUCCUGAUGCCUCUGUAUCCAGAAGGAAGCUGGGCACAGGGCAGUGCUGAGGCAAAGGAAGGGGGCUGGUGCUGACACCAAAGGGACAGGGAAAGGAGCACAUUCAUUUGUUCCUAUACGACUGAGAGAUUUCCCCUGUGGCCCUCCUUCCUAUAUCCUUGGCCCCUGCGGUGGCAGUUCUUCCCUAACUCCCCUUGACUAUACUUGACUUUAGCCCCUAAAUAUUCCUCUGCACCCCGUUAAUAAAAUCCAAAUUGCCCAAACAAUGGCUGAUAAUCUGCAAUACAGUUUCUCCCUCUUCCCAGAGCCAUUCUUGACCAAUUACUCCUGAAACUAGCUGAACUUGGCUGACCCCCUCUCCUGCUAAAGCCUAGUAGGAAAUUCUUCUCUCCUGCCCCAAGUGAGAAGGGAAUAAAGGCUCUGCCAACAGUGCUCUGGAAGAUUUUCUUCUGCAACGGACUCUGCUGACAUGGUGGGUGCAGCAUUGCUGUGAGGGUCCAUGACUGGCCCUGCUGGCUUCCUUGGGAUAACAUGGCCCAAUCCUGGAGACAGUGUUCUAUCUAUCCCAAGAAAAAUAUCCAGGGGGAGAGGGUGGGUGGAAAACAUGAAGAGAGAGAAAGGGGAGAUCCUUCUGGAACUCUUAGAGGGAUCUGAAAGAUGUCAGGGAGGGCAAUUCUAGAAUCGUGGGAGAUGGGCCUGCAGUACCACAUCCAGGAGCUGCCCAGGAUCCUCUCGCAGCUUCCCACCGCUGUGCCCUCACCAGCCCUCUUUAGCCAUCCGUACGGAGGUGGCUUCAUCUUCAGCAUAUUGUGCCCGUGUCUCAAGCAAGCGCGCCUUACUCAGUGCCACCAUUUUUCUGUAGAGCUGCCCAACAUCUGUGUCAUUUUCUCUCCUACCUUCUACCUUGGUAAGGCAUCUGAAAAAACAAGGGGUUCCCUAUUAACUACUGCUUCCUGUUCUUGCUUUCCCUGAAUGGAAUCCAAGCUUAUCUGCACAGAGGAAGAGUGUGCCAAGGCCAAGGUCCUAUCAAAGGGACUCUGUUCCCUGAGUUAAACAUUGGUCCUUUGUUACCUCCCUGCCUGGAUGCUUCCAGAGGUGGGAGGCCUCCUAGAGCCUCCAGUUUCGGUUUGAGGCCUCUCAGUGCAAUGGUUCAGGAAAAAGGAAAGGCCCAAUUAAUGGGCAAGAAAAAACCCAGGGACAGGUUGAUGUGAUGCAUUUGCUCAGGGCUUCCUGCCCGGGAAUGAAGGAUUUUACAUUUUCCUUCCUCCCUUGUACACCGAAGCCUGUUGAAGAAUGCUUUCCCCCUGCUUCCCAGAUUAAGCACACCAUCCUUCAAAAUGGAGUUCAACAUCCUUUGCUUUCCAUCAGCUUCCUUUGAUCAGCUACUUCAGCACUCUAUUCCUCAUCCCCUCAGCGAUUAUGCAGCCAUCUGCAGUGCGUUCAUUUGCCCUCGUCUUUCCGUGGCGUUUCUUCUGCGUGCUCACCUCUGGCACUGGAAUGCUUUCCAAGGGCGCAAUGCCUGUCUUCUCCAUUUGACUGAGAGCUCCCUUCUUUUCUACUCAAAGCCUGAAUACACAGCACACCCUGUUCUUUAAAUGUUUGCUACACACUGAUUCUAGCCAAGCCUCUCCCAAGGGUAGUGUUUGAAAGGUCUCUGUGCAGGAGAUAUUAACUCAGCAAAAGGAAGAGAAGUUAGAAAGUUAGAGAGGCAACUCCCACUUUCUCUCUCUCUCUUUUCUUUUGCUCUCUCACUUUCAGGAUUGGAAUAAGUAGCAUGCUAUUUCACAUAUAUAUAUUUCACCGAUAGUUCUGCCUUGGCUAUAGUAAAUGAUAGAAAAUGAGUUUGGUUGGAUUCCUCCAAGCCCCGAAGGCUAUUGCCUGUUGCAGUAAGGAGGAAGGGUUUUUGAACCUAAUUAACCACCUCCUCUCCUGACAUCCCAACUCCUGUUACUGAGAAGUGAACACGUGGGAGGAAGAGUUUACCCUCGGCCCGUAUACUGCUGUCCAAGCCCCAGACUAGUUUAACACUGACUCCACCGAGGAAGGACAGCCUGUGCCCAAAUGCAGGCCCCUCUACAUUCCUUUGGGUCCUUUCUCCAUU